GUGCUGGCUUUGGCAGCACAUAGACUAAAAUUGGAACACUACAGAGAAGAUUAGCAUGGCCCCUGUACAAGGAUGACACACAAAUUCUCGAAGCUUUCCAUAUUUUU
rnacentral:snRNA from 1 species